GGCAACCACACCAGGAGCCAGAUUAGUUCCUGACAUCUGUCCUGUAUUAAUCAUUGCUAUUCAAUACCACUCAAUAAAGAAGCCCUGAGGACACCCCAAAACACAUGGGAUCCAAGUGAAUGAUGCUCAGUAUGUAAUCCUUUUGAGAUACGUUGGUUAAGUCAGAAUGAGAUUUGCCACCUGUGUCACCAUCCAAGGCUCCCAUUACAUGGUUGCAACUGAAAGCUCUGCUAGUGAGAAAUUAGAGCCAUUAACAAACAAAGCAGAGAAUGAAAUUAAUGGUGACUCACACAAUGGCUGACAUACUGAACUCCUUUUCUAACUGUCAUCCAUUGGAAAAGAUAUGGGGGAGGAGGGGGAAGACUGAACAAUUUGGAAGUGGACCCGAUCUCCGUUUAGCAGUUCUUCUUCCUGGAACAGCAUCCCGUGGUCAAAGAAGCAGAAGUCCUCCAGGUGACACCAUCCUUGUAGCCAGGCAUUCAUCUCCAGGAUGCAUCUGUCUCUGCCGAGGCCCC